rnacentral:rRNA from 1 species
UACGUAGGGUGCGAGCGUUGUCCGGAAUUACUGGGCGUAAAGGGCUCGUAGGUGGCCAACUAAGUCGGACGUGAAAUCCCUCGGCUUAACCGGGGAACUGCGUCCGAUACUGGUUGGCUUGAGUUUGGGAGAGGGAUGCGGAAUUCCAGGUGUAGCGGUGAAAUGCGUAGAUAUCUGGAGGAACACCGGUGGCGAAGGCGGCAUCCUGGACCGGCAUUGACGCUGAGGCGCGAAAGCCAGGGGAGCAAACAGG